UGAGCGGGUCGGACGGUCGCGGGGCGAAAGCCGCGAGGAAAGUCCGAGCUCCACAGGGCAGGGUGCCGGGUAACACCCGGCGGAGGCGACUUCAGGGAAAGUGCAACAGAGAUAUACCGCAUGUGGAAACACGUGUAAGGGUGGAAAGGCGAGGUAAGAGCUCACCGACGGCAUGGCGACUUGUCCGUCCUGUAAACCCCAUCCGGAGCAAGAUUGCUGGCAGAGCGUGGCGGCCCGUCACAUUGCCUAAUAAUCGCUUGAGCCUGUUGGUAACAGCAGGCCUAGAUAGAUGACCGUUCAAGACAAAACUCGGCUUACAGAUCCGACUCAUAUC
rnacentral:RNase_P_RNA from 1 species